GCCUUGAUGGUGAUGAAAUGGUUAGACACGCGAGACUCAAAAUCUCGUGCUGAAGAGCGUGGAGGUUCGAGUCCUCUUCAAGGCA
rnacentral:tRNA from 1 species